rnacentral:rRNA from 1 species
GGACCCGCACAAGUAGUGGAGCAUGUGGUUUAAUUCGAAGAUACGCGCAGAACCUUACCAACACUUGACAUGUUCGUCGCGACUUUAAGAGAUUAAAGUUUUCGGUUCGGCCGGACGAAACACAGGUGCUGCAUGGCUGUCGUCAGCUCGUGUCGUGAGAUGUUGGGUUAAGUCCCGCAACGAGCGCAACCCUCACUUUUAGUUGCCAUCAUUUAGUUGGGCACUCUGAAAGAACUGCCAGUGAUAAGCUGGAGGAAGGUGGGGAUGACGUCAAGUCCUCAUGGCCCUUACGUGUUGGGCUACACACGUGCUACAAUGGUACAUACAACAGGAAGCAAAACGGCGACGUUAAGCAAAUCCUUAAAAUGUACCUCAGUUCGGAUUGCACUCUGCAACUCGAGUGCAUGAAGCUGGAAUUACUAGUAAUCG